rnacentral:rRNA from 1 species
GGUAUGUAAGGCUCUAUCAGCAGGGAAGAUNAUGACGGUACCUGACUAAGAAGCACCGGCUAAAUACGUGCCAGCAGCCGCGGUAAUACGUAUGGUGCAAGCGUUAUCCGGAUUUACUGGGUGUAAAGGGAGCGCAGGCGGUGCGGCAAGUCUGAUGUGAAAGCCCGGGGCUCAACCCCGGUACUGCAUUGGAAACUGUCGUACUAGAGUGUCGGAGGGGUAAGCGGAAUUCCUAGUGUAGCGGUGAAAUGCGUAGAUAUUAGGAGGAACACCAGUGGCGAAGGCGGCUUACUGGACGAUAACUGACGCUGAGGCUCGAAAGCGUGGGGAGCAAACAGGAUUAGAUACCCUGGUAGUCCACGCCGUAAA